rnacentral:rRNA from 1 species
GAUGAACGCUGGCGGCGUGCUAAACACAUGCAAGUCGAACGAUGAACCGGGUGCUUGCACUCGGGGAUUAGUGGCGAACGGGUGAGUAACACGUGAGCAACCUGCCCCUGACUCUGGGAUAAGCGCUGGAAACGGCGUCUAAUACUGGAUAUGUCCCGUCACCGCAUGGUGUGCGGGUGGAAAGAUUUUUCGGUUGGGGAUGGGCUCGCGGCCUAUCAGCUUGUUGGUGAGGUAAUGGCUCACCAAGGCGUCGACGGGUAGCCGGCCUGAGAGGGUGACCGGCCACACUGGGACUGGGACACGGCCCAGACUCCUACGGGAGGCAGCAGUGGGGAAUAUUGCACAAUGGGCGGAAGCCUGAUGCAGCAACGCCGCGUGAGGGAUGACGGCCUUCGGGUUGUAAACCUCUUUUAGCAGGGAAGAAGCGAGAGUGACGGUACCUGCAGAAAAAGCACCGGCUAACUACGUGCCAGCAGCCGCGGUAA